AGCUCCAAUAGCGUAUAUUAAAGUUGUUGCGGUUAAAAAGCUCGUAGUUGGAUCUCGGCGUGCAGGGGGCGGAUAGUUAUUUGACUCUUCUGCCCCAUUUGCGCGUGUUUUUGGCUCUUUUGUUAAGGUCCCCUUAACUGGGUGUCUUAGCACGGAGUCAGGUUUACUUUGAAAAAAUUAGAGUGCUCAAAGCAGGCUUAUAUAGCUUGAAUAUUCGUGCAUGGAAUAAUGGAAUAGGAAGUCGUUUCUAUUUUGUUGGUUUUAAGAUAUUGACUUAAUGAUUAAUAGGGACAACUGGGGGCAUUAGUAUUCGGACGACAGAGGUGAAAUUCUUGGACCGUCUGGAGACUAACUACUGCGAAAGCAUUUGCCAAGAGUGUUUUCAUUA
rnacentral:rRNA from 1 species